GUGGGGCUGAGAGCUUAUUCCACGGGUCUAUAACUCUAAUGGCAAACCAGUUUCCCUUCAUUGUGGUUCGCCAAUGGUCUGGUUUACUCAGCUUGUAGGAGUGGCCCCGCAGUCGCACUCACGGUCAACGGCACUGCCCAUACACUUAGUCCACCCUGGCGGGGACCUCACCAAUGACCUCCAUGAAAACAGGGUCCCAGACAAGCCAGUUGGUCUGAAGGCCAUGGCGCUGACUGACCACAUCAGGGUGUGCUGGCAGCCCCCCGCACAGCACAAUGUGAUGCUGUGCGGCUACACCAUUGCCUGGGACCAAGGCGUGGCGGACAUCUACUCCAAGAUCGUGGACAGCAAGCAGCACGGUUACAUCAUUGAUAAGCUGGAACCCAACAUGGAGUUUGUGAUAAGCCUGCGAGCCUUCAACAACGUGGGUGACGGGCAACCGGUGUACCAGCAAGUCCGCACCCAGCCAGAGGAGGAGGAGGUGGUGGCACCCACGCUGGACCCGGCGGUGUGGGUGAAGGCCGUGGUGCUGACGCCCUUCACCGUGGUGCUGCAGUGGGCGGACACCAUGCUGAGCCAGAACCAGUACAACAGCUGCACCACCUUCUCGUCCUCAUCCUCCAGCCGCUACGUCAACGCCACGGAUGUGACCUGCCUCAUUGACAGCCUCAAGCCAUCAACAGUGUGUGAGUUUGCUGUGAAGACCAUCAGGGUGAGACCACAGUGCUGGAAGCCUUCGUUCUUCUUUCAGUAAAUAUUCACUCAGUCCUGCAACACUUCUCAAGGAAAUCCUGCACAGCUGAAUCCUUGCUGUGAUGAGGCACAGAGAAAUUAUGACUCAUAGGGUUUGGUGUGAGUCCCCCUAUAGCCUGGUGGCCUCCAACACCCUGCUGGUGGCCCGGCCGUCCUGGCCAGCCGUCCACCACCACCUUCACCCGGCAGCCGUCCACCACCACCUUCACCCGGCAGCCGCUGCAGCGGAACAAUGGGAGGAUCACAGGCUACGUGAUAUUCCUCACCACGGACCAAACUGUCGGUGACUGGGUGAUGGGGGAAGUGACGGGGGACUGGCUCACCCUCACCGUCCAUGGACUGACGCCUUCAAGGAAGUAUUUGCACAAGAUGCACUCUCACAAUGUCAAAGGUUUUGGUCCAUUCUCCUCCGUGGAAAGCUUCACGACUCUUCCAGCUGUUGACAAGAGCAUCGGUGAGCCCCCAGGCUGGUGUGUGGAGCGAGAGGCCUGAUUGUGCUGGUGAUCGCUGGCGUGGCAGGAGCCAUGACCAGCUGGGGGCCUUCUUGGCCACCACACUGUACUGCCGCGGGUCAAGGCGGAGCCCAGGCCAAGCAUUGUUGUUGGCGGCAGCUGCAGCGAGAGCAACAAGCCUGGCGUCCAGCCUCCAGACCUGUGGAUCCAUCACGGCCACUUGGAGCUGAAGAACUUUGACAAGGGUGAGCGCAGCAACUCCCCCAACCACGCCUCCAUCAUCCAGCACACAGGAGUCGCGUCACAUCACAAUGGGACCGAAAAAGGACGAGAAGGGACAAGACAAGAAGAAAAGAUCUUCUGCUGCCUCUCCUGAUGAUGAUGAGCAACAAGAAGACACUCAAGAACAACCUGCCAAGAAAGUGAAGGGACGAUCCAAGAAGAGGUCAUUGUCUGCUACCGGGGAGACACCCCCUCCUCCAGCCCUCUUGCGUCACCAAUCCACUUGGACACAGGAGCCCCAACCUGGUCAUGAUGAUGCUGGGCCUCAGCAUCACCAGACCUUGGGAGCAGCAGCCCAGUGCCAACACCAGGCCACAGGACCCCAGGCUGCCCAGCCCACUGCCAGUGCCGGGGAUCUUCAGACCCAUCUCCAGCCUUAGGGAAUGGAGGGCGGAGGGCUGCAGUGGCGGUGGCGGCUAUAGUAAUGUGUCAGCAGUAUUUUUUUUCUGCCUCUCGGUGUGGUAGUCUUUCUUGGUGGUGGGUCCCGUUGGCCAGCGCCAGCUCUCUAUAGUGCAGGGAAGUGUUUAUAGUGGCGCCACCUUGCCUGGCUCACCUUUGAUCCCCUCUUUUAGAGAGAGAAUCUUGAGUCUGGGUUGACAGGCAUCCACCAGGACAGCAUGUGGGUAUGUCCUAGCCUACAGCAGCGGCAGCCUUUGGUCAGUGGCCUGGUGGUGGGCCCGCGGUGUUUUCAGUGGCAGGGUUGUAAUUCCUGGGGCUGGAUAGAGAUUCCCAAAUAUCUUCUGCAUCGGCCUCAAAAUGCCCCGAAGAGUGCUGGGUUUUCAAAAAUUUCCCCCCACCUGAGGAUGCCUUCUAGACCCCAAAAAUAUCUGCCAAAAUUAGUCCUGAGUGGUGGUGGUGGUGUUGAAAGUGUUAAUGACAGUGAUGAGAAGCAUUGUUAGGGGUGCUGGUGUGUAGUGAUGAAGUGGUGGUGAUGUCAGUCUGUGGUGGUGUUGAAAACUAGCCUCUUUUAAACGGUGAUGAGUGGUGGUGAACGGUGUUUACUGUACUGGUGGUGAUGAAAAUUGAUGUUGUUGGCCUUUGUGGAGGUGUUGAUGGCAGUGGUGAUGAAAUAUAGGCAUUUUUAGAGGUUCUGGUGUUGAUGGUGGAGGUACUUGUGUUGGUGGUGAUGAAAAUUGGUGUUAUAGCCCUGGUGGUGAUCUCUAUACCUAAUGGUGUUAUAAAUAUGCAUCUUUAGUGGUGUGGCAGUGUUGAAGGCAGUGGUGAUGAAAAAUUGGUGUCUAGUGGUGUUGUGUGGUGGUGAAACAUGCAUCAACACCAUUUUUGUCCAUUCCAAAAUUUCAUGUCUAUCUAUUGCAGUUCAUUUUUAUUUUUAUUACUUCAACAGUAAAUUAGAAUGCUCAAGGUAAUGGAAAGGAAUGAAGAAAGUGAGAGACAGGAGAGGAUAAAAAUAGCUUAAUCUAUCUAUCCCACUCUACUCUGCAAGGUGUACAAUAGGGAACAUAGUCUUUCAUUACACCCAGUCCUUCAGCUCUUAGGGAUGGCCCCAGAGUCCAGUCUUAGCAGUUAAGUCCCCUAAGUCUUGUUCAUGUUAUUUUGGUGCCAGUGAGUGCCUGCUUACAGUGCCAAAGUGACCCUUUCUGUCCCUUCCCUUCCUAGCUCAUGGGAAGGUUGGUGAGAGAGAGAGAGAGAGAGAGAGAGAGAGAGAGAGAGAGAGAGA